UAAAAUUUUGGAAAGCUUAAUGUAGGUACGUGGGUAUCUGGCUUUUUACGGCACCGAUUUCAAAGUUAAAAACUGGAACCUUUUUUUUCACAGCGUGCUCGAAGUCGGUGUGUGCAUCGUGGGACCUAAAAAGGAAACAUUUCUACUUGAUGGUAAAGCUAAAAGUUAGUUAACUUGUAGUUUUCACUACUAGCUCAUUUAAAUAUUGGUUGUAGCAACGGACGCCUACUGCAUAUAUUGGCAACUAACAAGGAUUCAUAUAAAGUAACUGUAGAAGUAAUCAAUAAGUAUUUUAACAUCAAAGUUUGUACUAAUUAGAUUCUGCAACUAGUUAAAACAUCAAAAAACUUUGUAAACCAUUUUUCACGAGAUUCAAAACAAUUUAUUGACAUCUGCAACAUGCUCUGUGCAUACCAAAUAAUAACAUCUGCUAUGGCACAAACAUCGCAAUCAAUUGCAACCUCAAUUCACAUUGCUAUAUGUUCUUCAUUUCCCUUUCAACAAAUCAGUGUUUUAUUUGUAUCAAACAGUGGUCACUUAUCUCUUUUAUCUGGUCCUGCUAUAGAAACCUCUUCUCAUGAACCACUAUCCAGUUAGAGAGCUGACUAGUUAAGUCCCAGAAAAAGGUUAUGAGAAAGAGAUUUAAUUUUUUUGUUUGAAACAGCAGUUAACAUUAAUCGAAACCAAGUUUUCUUAUCAAAAGACAAUUUUAUACCAACAACUUGCUGGAAAAAAUUAUGCAAUUCUUGUACUGCAAAAUGACAUUGAUACUGAUUUUACAGGAAGAGUUGAAGGAAAUUCAGCAAGUAACACAAAACACCAAAACUCAAAAACACUACUCAGCAGAUAUUAGAACACUUAUAUACGACAUGCUUGUGUGUUAAGUUCCUGGUUUCAUUCACUACACAAUUCAUUUUCUACACAAUUCUGCAAUACAAACUUCGCUACAAGGAUGCAAAAGUGAUCCAAAGGGUUUUGGGUUCUUUUUGGACCAACACGAGUUGCCCAGAAGAUUGCUACCAUGCUAUAGAGGGAACAGAAUACAUAUGCUUUUUCACACAUGUGGUACUUUGAUCUAUAAUUAUUCCAUAUUGAAGAUAUUUUUGUGUUCUGG